GUAUAAUGCUUCCGGACUUACUGUUCAAAAGCUGGGACCACCAAAAAGAUUAUCUGAAGUCCAUCAAAGAAGCUUUUCGUGUGUCCUCCUCCUCAUCUGCCCCAACUGCUGACCCACAGUCUGGUAUUUCGAGGUUGCUCUGCUGCUUCCCAGAAGUCACUCAACAUGAGGUCAAGGACACCAUCAGGAGCAUGAGAUCCUCCACCUGUGCCCUUGACCCCUUUCCUACACCUCAGGUGAAAGCAAAUAUUUCUGCCUUCAGUCCCCUUUUCACCAUGAUAAUAAACCAAUCCCUUCAGGCUGGCCAUGUACUGUCUGCCUUAAAAACAGCCAUAAUCAGACCACUACUUAAGAAACCCACACUUGUUCCUCAAAUCCUUGCUAACUAUAGGCCCAUAUCCAACCUGCCAUUUCUCUCUAAGGUUCUGGAAAAAGUAGUUGCCAGCCACCUUCAGGAUCACCUCAAAUACAAUAACAUUUUUGAAAAGUUUCAGUCUGGUUUCCGUUCCGCUCACAGCACAGAAACAGCUUUAGUGAGAGUCACAAAUGACCUGCUGAUGACAGCUGAUGUUGGCUCACUAUCACUUCUUGUCCUCUGGGAUCUUUCUGCAGCGUUCAACACUGUUGAUCACGGGAUACUUCUCAACUGGCUACAUCACUCCAUUGGACUUUAUAACAUCAUCCUGCGCUGGUUCAAGUCAUACCUCUCGGAGGGAUCUGAUUUGUGGCCAUGGGAAGCUCAAAGUCCCAUUCACAUGCUGUUGGAUGCAGAGUUCCACAGGGAUCAGUUCUCGGACCAAUUUUAUUAAUUCUCUACAUGCUCCCCCUUGGCAAAGUCAUCAGUCGUUUGGGAAUUUCCUUCCAUUCUUAAGCUGAUGAUACACAACUAUAUAUGAAAGUUGAUCCUCACUCAUCAUCAUCAGCAGCAACUUUAUCUACACUCACUGCCUGUCUGAAGGAGAUAAGGGCGUGGAUGAAUCAUAACUUUUUCCAGCUGAACAGCUCAAAAACAGAGGCCUUCCUUUUUGGUUCCCCUCAUCAGAUCAGAACAUCUGCCAUAACUUGCAUUACAUUUUCUGGCCAGGACAUUCCCUUAUCACCAUUAGUCACCAGUCUCGGCGUUAAGUUUGACCCUCAUUUAACCUUUGAGGCUCACGUUAAACAUCUUUGCAAAACAUCAUUUCAUC
ensembl:lncRNA